UACAUACACACAUACAUAAUCUGUAUUUUAUAAGUAUAUAGAUUUCUUUAUAAUGAAAUUUUGUUAUUGUGAAAUUUGUCUGAAAUUCUUUCAAACAAACUUCACAAUAACAAAAACAUCUUGCCCAUAUCCUUGUAAUAGGAUGGGCAGUACUCAAAGAAGGAAGAGAAUAAGAGAAAAAUGGGGAAAAAACCACUCAAAUGCCACCAAUCAGAUAGUGCCAUACAUCUCUAUCUCUACACAUUAUACCAGUUUCCUCUAAAGUUAUUCAUUUUUCAUACAUUCCACCUCUUAUAAACACAAUGAAACCCAUAUUUCCUCAGAUACUCAUAUACUUGUUCAUUCUUUCUUUGGCCUUCUUCCAC
rnacentral:lncRNA from 1 species